GCGCAGCGAGUGGGGAAAUCCUAUGCCGCCUGUGAACCUUCCCAUUAUGUUCGUUUCUUGUCUAAAAUAUGAGACUUAGGUUUUCAUUGCUUCUGUUCACUUCAGAAGAAUGAACAGAAAGCACUCGCCACCCUUUAACCUAAAUCAAAGUAUAAGCCAACAUUUCUAACAAGAGUACGGAUUCUUUCUUACCUUUGGAGUCCACGGACCCUUAAAAGGUGGAAUUCAUGGUGGAUUCUUUUGAUGGGGAUUUUCCUGCUUUGAAAGGAAAUAAUAGGACGUUUUCAAUGUGGAACAAGGCUGAGGUUCUGACUGCUGGCCUAAAAGAACCAGGAUUCCCCCAGUUGGACUCUCACAUACCUGUGGACCUCAAGUGCUCCUUCAUAUGUGUUUUCAAUGAACUUCAUCCAAACCACAUCAAAUGGCUGUGUAUAACACUAAGGAAAUGUCAUAUUGUCUCCUAGUCCUCUACCAUGGAAAAUCUGCGCAGAGGCUUUCAAGGAAAAUAAAGGUCUUUUACACACACUGAAGAUCAUGUGAAGAAAGAGAGAAGAUGGUCAUCUAUACACCAAGUUAAACGACCCUCAGAAGAAACCAACCCUAUGGACAACUUGAUCUUGAACUUCUAGCUUUCAGACCUGUGAGAAAAUAAAUUGCUGUUGUUUAAAUUUAAAAAAACAGUCUUUUAAAUCAUGUAUGAAACAAAGUGUUGUUACAAACCAUUGUUAUAAUAGUACUAGCUUUUGUAAUUGCCUAUUUGUCCAUCUUUACUGAGAUCUUUAUUUCUUCAUAUGGCUUUGAGUUACUGAGUAGUGUCCUUUUAUUUCAACCUGAAGAACUCCCUUGAGUGUUUCUCUUAGGGUAUGUCUAGAAGUAACAGAUUACCUUAGCUUUCGUUAAUCUGGGAAUGUUGUAAUUCUCCUUCACUUUUGAAGGACAAUUUUUACCAAAUAUAGAAUUUGGGGUUGAUAUUUUUAUUUAUUUUAGCACUUUGAAUAUAUCAGCCCACUGCCUUUUGGUCUCCAGUAUUUAUGAUGAGACUCUCUUUUUUUAAUCUCAUAAUUUACUAUUUAUUAUUUUUAAAUGUUUCUAGAGAUAUACAGUAAUUAAACAUAUUUGUGGGAUACACAUGAUAUUUUGAUACAAGAAUAUACAAUGUGUAAGCUGUAUAUUCAAUAUACAAUCAGUGAUCAAAUCAGGAUAUUUAUUAGGAUAUACAUCAACUUGAACAUUUAUCAUUUCUUUGUGUUGGGAGUAUUUUAAAUCUUCUUUACUAGCUUUCAUGAAAUAUAAAAUAUUGUUAACUAGUCAUUCCACUGUGUUAUCAAACACUAGAACUUAUUCCCCCAUCUGCACUAUAUCUUUGAACCUAUAAUCUUAUUGAUGAUCUUUUUAUGUGAUGAAUCACUUUUCUAUUGCAACUUUCAAGACUCUGUGUUUGGCUUUUGACAGUUUGAUUAUAUUGUGUCUCAGUGUGGAUCUUUUUGAGUUCAUCCUACUUGGAGUUACUGAGUUUCUUGAAUAUUUUUACUUAUGUCUUUUAUCAAAUUUGUAAAGACUUUGGCCAUCAAUUCUCUUAAUAAUCUAUCUUUCCUGUUUUCUCUUCUGUUUCUUAGCCUACCACCACACGUGUUGUUCUGCUCAACAGUGUUCCAGAAGUCCCUUAAGCUCUGUUCACUUUUCUUCAAUCAUUUUACUUUCUGUUCCUCAGAUUCAAUGAUUUCCUUUGUCCUAUUUCAAAUUUGUUGAUUCUUCUUCGUUCUCAAAUCAGCCUUUGAAUCUCUCUAGUGAAUUUUUUAUUUCAGUUAUAACACUUUUUAGCAUCAAAUUUAUUGUUUCUUCAUAGGUUUUCUAUAUGUUUGCAAAUAUUUCUAUUUUGUCCUUAUGUCAUUUUCUUGGCUUUUUCUGCAUCUUUUGUUAGCUCUUUCAGUAUCUUUAAGAUAAUUGUUUUUGUUUAGUAGAUCUGACAUCAGGUCUUUUUCAGGAGCUGCUUCUUUUUUUCCCAUUAAAAUGGGCCACACAUUCCUUUUCUUUUGUAUGUCUCUUGAUUUUUUUUGUUAAAAAUGGACAUUUGAAGCUAAUGAUUUGAUAACACUGGAAAUUAGGUUCUCUCCCUUCCCUGGGGUUUACUGGGCUUUUGUUUUUGGUUUUGUUUUUUUGUUGUUGUUGUUGCUUACUGUUUUUGUUUUUUUAAUUGUUGUAGGCUGUCUCAGUGCUGAGGGUUAGCCUGAGCUUAAGGUUAGGCUAACCUGACCUUAAGGUAAACUUAAGGUCUUCUCAGGUCUUUCUGAGCCUGUGCCUUUCCCUGGGCAUACAUAGUCACCUUCCAAUAUCCCCCAUAUAUGCAGUCACUUCGGAAUGUCCCAGUCUCUAAUGGAUGGCUCCCAAAAGGGGAAAAGAUAAAAAUUAAGGAGAAGAAAAAGAAUGCUGGGUUUUUAAGUACCCUGGAAGUCACCUCAGCGAGAGAGGGGCUAGCAAUAAUGAGGGUGGGGCAAUAGCAAUGGCCACCUGCCUCUUUGUCUGUACUUCUGUGAUGAGAAGCAGCAAUUAAUAAUCACAGCACAAAUACUUGGAGGACUGGGUCCUUAUUGCCCACCCUGGCUCCCACAAGCUGUAUGCAGUCUUCUUCAGGUCAUGGGCACAGCUGCCUGCCACAGGGCUGGGGCGGUCAAUAGGUAGUUACUACUGUGCUGAGUCUAAGUUGACCAAAACUAACUGAAAUUUACUUCUAAGACAUUCCCUGGAAGUUGCAAGCCUUCAAUAGACUCCAGAAUUCCAAAAUAGUUACAUCAGGCAGAUUCUGCCAGUGCAGUUGUUGUCUGGAUGGGUAAACAGAUUCCUGGAGCUUCCUAUUUCAGCAUCUUGCCAGAAUCUUCUCCCUAUGUGUAUUUAUUUUAUCACAUCUUGAGAUAGUUUUUGUUUCAGAACUUUGCUAUCCACUAUGCUGAGUAGAACUUCAAGAGCUGUCCCUGUGUCUAAUAGACUAGAAGUGGUAGAUUUCAGCCUGGGAGUACACACUGCGGUCACAACCAUCCAUAUGGCAGGAAGUAGUCUACUGAGUUUUUGGCGGCCAUGAUUCUUUGGCAUUUCUGGUUUGGUGGUCGUUGAUUCCUAAAUAUUAAAGUGGUUCCCAGCAUGUAUCAGUUGUUUGUUUGCUAAAUGACCUUAAAUGUUCUGAUACUUGCAGAAAUGAAAAAAGCUAGUUUCUCUGUCAAUAAGACUCUGAUCUGAAUGUGAAUAAAUAUGCAUGAGCAGUAACUUAAUGCACAUCUGGAAAAUAUGCUUUGUUAGAAAUCUAUCACUAUUUUUUUUAAUUUGGAGAGUUUUUCUCAAGAACAAUAGAAUGUAAUAAAAUUUAAGGAAGUGCAUUUUACAAAAAGUAUCAAAGACUUUAUUAAACAUCAACUCUUUACUUGAAGAAAUAAUGUUGUUUAAAAAAAUCAAUCUUGUGAAUUGUCUCCUGGGAAGUUUGUCAGUGAUUUCUUUCUUUCUUGUUCUUUUUUGUCCUUAUAUAAAGUAACCAAGCUUUAUUCCUAUAAGCUGUAAAUUUUAACAGAAAGCAGAUUCACAUGUAUUUAUUAACAUUCCUAAAUUCUCAACACCACUUAUUAAUCC
rnacentral:lncRNA from 10 species